rnacentral:rRNA from 1 species
GAGGUCAACUUGAGAGUUUGAUCCUGGCUCAGAGCGAACGCUGGCGGCAGGCUUAACACAUGCAAGUCGAAGGUGAAGCUAGAGCUUGCUCUAGUGGAAACUGGCGGACGGGUGAGUAACGCGUAGGGAUGUGCCUUUGAGUACGGAAUAACCGUUGGAAACGACGGCUAAUACCGUAUACGCCCCGAGGGGGAAAGCUCCGGCGCUCAUAGAGCAACCUGCGUCCGAUUAGCUUGUUGGUGAGGUAACGGCUCACCAAGGCUUCGAUCGGUAGCUGGUCUGAGAGGAUGAUCAGCCACACUGGGACUGAGACACGGCCCAGACUCCUACGGGAGGCAGCAGUGGGGAAUAUUGGACAAUGGGGGCAACCCUGAUCCAGCCAUGCCGCGUGAGUGAAGAAGGCCCUAGGGUUGUAAAGCUCUUUCAGAUGUGAGGAUGAUGACAGUAGCAUCAGAAGAAGCACCGGCUAACUUCGUGCCAGCAGCCGCGGUAAUACGAAGGGUGCUAGCGUUGUUCGGAAUUACUGGGCGUAAAGGGCGUGUAGGCGGAUAAUCAAGCUAGAGGUGAAAGCCCAGGGCCUAACCCUGGAACUGCCUUUAGAACUGAUUGUCUAGAAUCCGUAAGGGGA